GAUGAACGCUGGCGGCGUGCCUAAUACAUGCAAGUCGAGCGAACAGACGAGGAGCUUGCUCCUCUGACGUUAGCGGCGGACGGGUGAGUAACACGUGGAUAACCUACCUAUAAGACUGGGAUAACUUCGGGAAACCGGAGCUAAUACCGGAUAAUAUAUUGAACCGCAUGGUUCAAUAGUGAAAGACGGUUUUGCUGUCACUUAUAGAUGGAUCCGCGCCGCAUUAGCUAGUUGGUAAGGUAACGGCUUACCAAGGCAACGAUGCGUAGCCGACCUGAGAGGGUGAUCGGCCACACUGGAACUGAGACACGGUCCAGACUCCUACGGGAGGCAGCAGUAGGGAAUCUUCCGCAUUGGGCGAAAGCCUGACGGAGCAACGCCGCGUGAGUGAUGAAGGUCUUCGGAUCGUAAAACUCUGUUAUUAGGGAAGAACAGAUGUGUAAGUAACUAUGCACGUCUUGACGGUACCUAAUCAGAAAGCCACGGCUAACUACGUG
rnacentral:rRNA from 1 species